CACUUACCCAAUCCACACAACGCAAUAGAAAAUCCCUGCGUCUUAGAUCUCAAUUUGUGAAAUCCCUCAAAUUUUAAUUUGUGUUUCUAUUGAUUUAUGCGAUUCAGAUAAGAAACCCCUAGCAACCCGGGCUCCUCUGAAAUUUCUCAUAUGAAGAAAGAAGUCCCAUAGCUCCUGCCAUAACGACGCCGUUUAGUGUUGCAGAUUUGCCGCUGUACCUUCUCACGGCCUAUUUGUGUCAAAACAACGUCAACAUUCAUUAUCUGCGCUCAUAAUUUCUGUCUUUGUUUUUUUUGUGGCUAUGAUUAAAAGAUUAUCCGCGCUUCUGAGAUUUCCAAUCGAUGAAGUAGAUCGAUAAUAAUGGUUGAAUUUCUUAAUAUGAGCCAAUUUAUUAAUUUUCAUUUAUUUAUAUGCUGUGGUUGUGAUGAUUAAUAAUCAGCUUAACGCCAGUUCUGCUUCAGAAAAUUCUUGAUCGAUACAGCUGUAUAAUUAUCUGAACCUUUUUUUGAUUCUCCAAUUUAUUUAUUUUCACAAAACUGGUUUUUAUUCGAUUUUUUGAUGCAAUGAUGAAAUUUCCAAUUUUUAGGUGUAGUGAUGUUGAGACCCUGUAUACAGGGAGAACCCCUUGAUGUUGCUACAUCUUUUCAUGAAAAUUUGGAAAUAUCUGAGAUUUAACUAAAUUUCCCCAAUUUAUUUUGAUUUAUAAAGAUGAGAAAAGAAUCCUUGUUUUUUUGAAGAAAUUGAUGCCUGUGAUGGUUGUUGGAUAGUAUAUGAAGUGUAGUGAAUCCGAGUACUGCUUAUGCAGUUGAACCUCUCGGUGGAUCUAUGUUGCUAUUGAUUAUAAUUAACAUACUGAGGCAUCUAUGCUUUGCUAAUGUAAAAUUCUAUAAUUGAAAAGAUUGGUUUUAAUUUGUUUAGAUACUUGAGUUUUACUAUACCCCUUCCUUCUUAUGGGUUGAGGGUCUGAAAAACUCAUACAUCAAAGGUGUUGUCAUCAGCUUCUCUCGAAUUCGCAACGGAGACUGGAGUUAAAUAACAGCACUAGACUAUUCUAUAAUCUUAUCAUUUUCUUUUAUGAAGGAUAUUAGAUUAGUUUUGUCUCUUUUGUUGUUGGAUAAUGUUUUUUUUCACAAAAUUAGACCGGGAGAGGUAAUGUAGCUGUUCGACUUUGAUUGAAACGUAGUAGUAUGUUUGUUUGAUGAUUUGUUUCUUGUUGUGAUUGGAUAUUGAAUUUGUAUUUUGGAACUAGUAGUGAUUGUAUUGGAUUCUCAGCCGCUCGCCAGUGAACGGAAGCUGAACUCGUGAGGCUCGCCCCACCUUGUGCCACAGUUGAAAGCCUAUGGAUUUGCUUGGACCCGAAGAUUGCUUUUGUUUCCAGAAGAAUUCAAGGUGUGCAAAUCACAUAUAGCCUCUCCAAUGGAGCCUCCCAACAUGUUAUCAUCGAGCGAUAAUCCUUGAAGCUUGAUCAGAUGUUUGAUAGUAGGAAUGUUGCCACUGAAUUUGCAGCUGCCAGCAUAGAAUCCUUGGAGCGAGGACGAUAAAUUCCCUACAGCAGCUGGAAUGACGCCGUACAGAGGAUUAUCAGUAAUCAACAAACGAGUAAGAAGCAUGCAAUAUGCCAACG